ACCAAAUGAAGCUCCGAUGACACCACCGAUCAGUGCUGUUGCAGAAGUGCUCUUGGAGCCCAUGGAUGCCGGCCUUUUUCCAUGAUCGUCCCCAAGGAGAAUUGCUGCUGCCUCGUCGACCCGUUGUCCUCGCAGCGAUGUCAUCACCACCGGCUACCGCUGACCCACACCAAACAGCAAGUUGCCUCAACCGUCAGUGUCCCUAUCGUCACCAUUCUGCUACUGGCUGCCAUCAACUUGAUCAUCAGCUGCUAUAAUUUCCCAAUGUUUAUGUAUGAUGCUUGUGCUGGUUGCUAUCGAUGUUAUAGUGGAGCUACACGAGGAGCAGAUAUUCGAAAAGUGGAACCAUCAACAAGUGUUUGAAAGGCAAGUGUAACAUGAGUUCCCUUGUUACCUAAUAACCAUUUAAUCA